UGCAGUCGAGCGGUAACAGGGGUAGCUUGCUACCCGCUGACGAGCGGCGGACGGGUGAGUAAUGCAUGGGUAUCUGCCCGGUAGUGGGGGAUAACUCGGGGAAACCCGAGCUAAUACCGCAUACGUCCUACGGGAGAAAGCAGGGGAUCUUCGGACCUUGCGCUAUCGGAUGAGCCCAUGUCGGAUUAGCUUGUUGGUGAGGUAACGGCUCACCAAGGCCGCGAUCCGUAGCUGGUCUGAGAGGAUGAUCAGCCACACCGGGACUGAGACACGGCCCGGACUCCUACGGGAGGCAGCAGUGGGGAAUAUUGGACAAUGGGGGAAACCCUGAUCCAGCCAUGCCGCGUGUGUGAAGAAGGCCUUCGGGUUGUAAAGCACUUUCAGUGGGGAAGAAGGCAUGGUGGUUAAUAACCAUCAUGAAGGACAUCACCCACAGAAGAAGCACCGGCUAACUCCGUGCCAGCAGCCGCGGUAAUACGGAGGGUGCAAGCGUUAAUCGGAAUUACUGGGCGUAAAGGGCGCGUAGGCGGCUUGCCAAGCCGGAUGUGAAAGCCCCGGGCUCAACCCGGGAACGGCAUUCGGAACUGGCAGGCUAGAGUGCAGGAGAGGAAGGUGGAAUUCCCGGUGUAGCGGUGAAAUGCGUAGAGAUCGGGAGGAAUACCAGUGGCGAAGGCGGCCUUCUGGACUGACACUGACGCUGAGGCGCGAAAGCGUGGGUAGCAAACAGGAUUAGAUACCCUGGUAGUCCACGCCGUAAACGAUGUCGACCAGCCGUUGGACCCCUUGAGGGUUUGGUGGCGCAGUUAACGCAAUAAGUCGACCGCCUGGGGAGUACGGCCGCAAGGCUAAAACUCAAAUGAAUUGACGGGGCCCGCACAAGCGGUGGAGCAUGUGGUUUAAUUCGAUGCACGCGAGACCUUACCUGCUCUUGACA
rnacentral:rRNA from 1 species